AGGACGGCAAUGAAGAAGACAAGGAA
rnacentral:piRNA from 1 species